rnacentral:rRNA from 1 species
ACCGCCCGUCACUCUCUUCAAGUAUACUUCAAAGGACAUUUAACUAAAACCCCUACGCAUCUAUAUAGAGGAGAUAAGUCGUAACAUGGUAAGUGUACUGGAAAGUGCACUUGGACGAAC